AGCGAACGCUGGCGGCAGGCUUAACACAUGCAAGUCGAGCGGGCGUAGCAAUACGUCAGCGGCAGACGGGUGAGUAACACGUGGGAACGUACCUUUUGGUUCGGAACAACUGAGGGAAACUUCAGCUAAUACCGGAUAAGCCCUAACGGGGAAAGAUUUAUCGCCGAAAGAUCGGCCCGCGUCUGAUUAGCUAGUUGGUGAGGUAGUGGCUCACCAAGGCGACGAUCAGUAGCUGGUCUGAGAGGAUGAUCAGCCACACUGGGACUGAGACACGGACCAGACUCCUACGGGAGGCAGCAGUGGGGAAUAUUGGACAAUGGGGGCAACCCUGAUCCAGCCAUGCCGCGUGAGUGAUGAAGGCCCUAGGGUUGUAAAGCUCUUUUGUGCGGGAAGAUAAUGACGGUACCGCAAGAAUAAGCCCCGGCUAACUUCGUGCCAGCCGCCGCCGUAA
rnacentral:rRNA from 1 species